CCCUCUGUGGGGAAAAAAAAGUUUCACACCCUGAAUGAAUCUGCGCCGCCGUUUCUUUCGUGUCACUGAGCAGCUCUUUUGCUAACUUUUCUCUAAAACUGGCCGCCGCACUCGCAAAACGCCUCACAAGCUAGCUCGCUAACAGUCAGAGCAGAGUGUGUUGCUGCAGCACAGGUGCUCCCUGCUGCUAAUCAAGAGAACCUCCACAGGUGUCGGUGCUGUCAGUAAUCAAGCCUGCACCAAAGUUCAUUUAAAACCUGGACAUUUAUUUCCAUCCUGUAACAACUCUGUUCCCGGGGAAUUUAAUUCUGCCGAGAUGCCCGACACAACACUGGGAAUCACUUUACGACUCCAGCAGGAGAUACUUCUCCAAACCAAGAGGAAGGAACCAGCGGCGACAAAGGCCAACUGUUUCACUUCCCUUGUGUCCUGGCUGCAGUGGAUGAAAUCAUAUGGCCUUUCCUUUCCUUCUUCUGUUCUUUCUUCUCAUGAACUUGUCGCAAUCAGAGUAACAGAUUCAACAUGCUUAGUCGUCCAAAAAGCUGCUGACAAUGGCCGACCGGUGGCCAAAGUGCAGUGGUGUAACAGGUGGCCUUCCUAAAGGACACUGCAACAGUAUCAGGCUUCAGUUGAGAAAAUGCAGUAGAAACAAUGGAUAUUUAAUCUGCUUUAUUGAGCCAGUAUUAGUCCAUUAAAUACGCCUUGGUUGUCAACACAUUAUAAUAAAUCCCUACCAUAUGAGUGCAACGAAAAGCAGCGUCACCACCCUUUAAAGGCUGCACACAGACAAACAACAAGCGCGACUCUUCUGUUAACUUCCCAAGAACAAAGAUAUCACAACCUCCAAACAGUUUUAUGUAAAAAAUAUUAGUUAGUUAUUAAAAGGAGAUCACACAGAACAGACUAAAUGUGUGCUUCGAGAUGGUUCAGUGAUACAGAAGGGGGGAUUUUAAUGUUCUUUCCAAUUUCCCAGAGUCCGAAACUAAUAAUAAAUGUCUGGGGACGGAACCUUU